rnacentral:rRNA from 1 species
CCUUUGACGUUAGCGGCGGACGGGUUAGUAACACGUGGGUAACCUACCUAUAAGACUGGGAUAACUUCGGGAAACCGGAGCUAAUACCGGAUAAUAUUUCGAACCGCAUGGUUCGAUAGUGAAAGAUGGUUUUGCUAUCACUUAUAGAUGGACCUGCGCCGUAUUAGCUAGUUGGUAAGGUAACGGCUUACCAAGGCGACGAUACGUAGCCGACCUGAGAGGGUGAUCGGCCACACUGGAACUGAGACACGGUCCAGACUCCUACGGGAGGCAGCAGGG